CUGGGCUUGAACCGCUACUGACCAAGGGUAGAAAUAUCCUCUUCCCGCAAGGGACAGUAGUAGAGGUGCUGCAUGGCUGUCGUCAGCUCGUGCCGUGAGGUGUUGGGUUAAGUCCCGCAACGAGCGCAACCCUUAUUCGUAGUUGCCACCCGCAAGGGGGAACUCUACGAGGACUGCUCCGGAUAACGGAGAGGAAGGUGGGGAUGACGUCAAGUCAGCACGGCCUUUAUGUCCAGGGCUACACACGUGUUACAAUGCACGGUACAGACUGUUGCGAACCCGCGAGGGGGAGCUAAUCGGACAAAACCGUGCUCAGUUCGGAUUGCAGUCUGCAACUCGACUGCAUGAAGCUGGAAUCGCUAGUAAUGGCGCAUCAGAUCGGCGCCGUGAAUACGUUCCC
rnacentral:rRNA from 1 species